rnacentral:rRNA from 1 species
GAGUUUGAUCCUGGCUCAGGAUGAACGCUGGCGGCGUGCCUAACACAUGCAAGUCGAACGAAGCACCUUUUAAGAUUCUUCGGAUGAUUGAUUGGUGACUGAGUGGCGGACGGGUGAGUAACGCGUGGGUAACCUGCCCUGUACAGGGGGAUAACAGUUGGAAACGGCUGCUAAUACCGCAUAAGCGCACGAGAGGACAUCCUCUUGUGUGAAAAACUCCGGUGGUACAGGAUGGGCCCGCGUCUGAUUAGCUGGUUGGCAGGGUAACGGCCUACCAAGGCGACGAUCAGUAGCCGGUCUGAGAGGAUGAACGGCCACAUUGGAACUGAGACACGGUCCAAACUCCUACGGGAGGCAGCAGUGGGGAAUAUUGCACAAUGGGGGAAACCCUGAUGCAGCAACGCCGCGUGAGUGAUGACGGCCUUCGGGUUGUAAAGCUCUGUCUUCAGGGACGAUAAUGACGGUACCUGAGGAGGAAGCCACGGCUAACUACGUGCCAGCAGCCGCGGUAAUAC